rnacentral:rRNA from 1 species
UACAGAGGUCUCAAGCGUUGUUCGGAUUCAUUGGGCGUAAAGGGUGUGUAGGUGGCGCCGUAAGUCGGGUGUGAAAUUUCGGAGCUUAACUCCGAAACUGCAUUCGAUACUGCGGUGCUUGAGGACUGGAGAGGAGACUGGAAUUCAUGGUGUAGCAGUGAAAUGCGUAGAGAUCAUGAGGAACACCGGUGGCGAAGGCGGCAUCCUGGACCAACACUGACACUGAGGAGCGAAAGCCAGGGGAGCAAACGGG